rnacentral:lncRNA from 1 species
UCUAAUAAGCUCAAUUCUCGCUUGUGUGUGGCUUUUUAUUCAUUGUUGCUCUUAUUUGUCAUUCCGAAUUUCAUCCAACAAAAACACCGAAUUUUCAAUCACCAAUUCUUAAGUCUCAAGCAUCAAAUCUCAAGUUCAUCACACAAUCCAAUUCGGCAGCAUGUUCAUCACUAGCAUUUCAACAAUCCUAAGGCUAACAGGUCACAAGACUCAACAUAAAAACUGACUCAACGAAACACAAACUCAAAGACGCCCCCCUCACACUUAAAUUUUGCUUGCCCUCAAGCAAACAAAAUAAAGUAUAAGAAAGGGACAACGAUGACCCACAACGAAACACAAAACAGACAAAAACAACGCAAGAACAAGCAAAACAAACAAGAAAAAGGAAGGGAAUCACCGCGCGCGCUGACGCCGCAGCUCCUGUCUGAUGGUGGCGCUCAAGUUCGUGAUGCUCUCCUCUAGGGCUGCCACAUUCCUGUCGAUCCUAUUUUUUUUUUUUUUUUUAAUAAACUGAAACAAAAAUUAAAUCUAAAGACAGGGAAUUAAAACUGAACGAAACGGAAAUAAAGAAAAAGAAAAACAAAACGGGAGAAACAAAGGGAAAGAAAAUCGGGUUGCCUCCCGAUAAGCGCCAUUAUUUAACGUCGUCGGCUCGACUAUUGAUGCAAUCAGAAUCUCGUCUGAGGUGACAAUGGAAUUUCUUCCACUGUUGUCAUAUGAGAUGCAUCGCAAUAUGGCUCCAACUUGUGAUAGUUGACUACAAACGUCUUUGCCGUAGCCAAACUCUUAAUCUCCACUGGUCCGUCUGGCC